CAGUCGCCGCGGUAAUACGAAGGGGGCUAGCGUUGCUCGGAUUUACUGGGCGUAAAGGGCGCGUAGGCGGGCGAUUAAGUCAGAGGUGAAAUCCCAAGGCUCAACCUUGGAACUGCCUUUGAUACUGGUUGUCUUGAGUCCGGGAGAGGUGAGUGGAACUGCGAGUGUAGAGGUGAAAUUCGUAGAUAUUCGCAAGAACACAGGUGGCGAAGGCGGCGACCUGGUCUUUAACUGACGCUGAGGCACGAAAGCGUGGGGAGCAAACAGGAUUAGAUACCCCCGUAGUCCCUGUCUCUUAUAC
rnacentral:rRNA from 1 species